GACGAACGCUGGCGGCGUGCUUAACACAUGCAAGUCGAGCGGUAAGGCCCUUCGGGUACGACGAGCGGCGAACGGGUGAGUAACACGUGGGUGACCUGCCUCUAGCUCUGGGAUAAGCCUGGGAAACGUGGGUCUAAUACCGGAUAUGACUCCACGGCGCAUGUUGUGGGUGGAAAGCCUUGUGUGGCUAGAGAUGGGCCCGCGGCCUAUCAGCCUGUUGGUGGGGUGAUGGCCUACCAAGGCGACGACGGUAGCCGGCCUGAGAGGGCGACCGGCCACACUGGGACUGAGACACGGCCCAGACUCCUACGGGAGGCAGCAGUGGGGAAUCUUGCGCAAUGGGCGAAAGCCUGACGCAGCGACGCCGUCGUGAGGGAUGACGGCC
rnacentral:rRNA from 1 species